UACGGGGGGGGGCAAGCGUUGUUCGGAAUUACUGGGCGUAAAGGGCGCGUAGGCGGUCCGUUAAGUUAGAUGUGAAAACUCUGGGCUCAACCCAGAGCCUGCAUCUAAUACUGACGGGCUAGAGUUCUGGAGGGGGUAGCGGAAUUCCUGGUGUAGCGGUGAAAUGCGUAGAUAUCAGGAGGAACACCGAUGGCGAAGGCAGGUCUCUGGGCAUUAACUGACGCUGAGGAGCGAAAGCAUGGGGAGCGAACGGG
rnacentral:rRNA from 1 species